ensembl:lncRNA
CAGCCGGUGGUUGGCGGAGCUGAGGAUGUUCCGCUGCGCUACAAGUCACAGCGAGCAAUGCCAAUGUGCUGCACGCCAAACGCGUUCCUGAUGCACAGCAGACAACGUUGCCUCUGUCUGAAAACACGGGACCGUGUGAAUUCCAGUAACAUAGUCCAAUCCACCGUUCAUCAGAGGAGUGUAAUGUGUGACCAUGUGGAGAUAGUGGUGCAGUUGAAAAUACCAUCAAAAUAUAUCUGCCUGAAUCCUGACUCUAAAAUGGGCAAGAGAAUACAGACUAAGUGGAACCUGAAGAACUGAGCUAAACAUGAUAACACAAACUAUGUGAUGAUGAUAUAACUGACUGUACUGACCAAAAAGUACAUGUAACUAUGUUGUCUUUCUCUGCAGUUUGAGGUAACUUUACUUGUUCCACUGACAAUGCAAUUAGAAAGUGUAUUUCAGAGCUACAGGGUAAUGCACAAAGCUCGUAACAACAUUCUAGGAAAUCUCUGCAAUGACAAGGCUGUAACAUCAUUCUAGAACAUCUCUGCUAUGACAAGCCUGUAACAACAUUCUAGAACAUCUCUGCUAUGACAAGCCUGUAACAUCAUUCUAGAACAUCUCUGCUAUGACAAGGCUGUAACAACAUUCUAGAACAUCUCUGCUAUGACAAGCCUGUAACAACAUUCUAGAACAUCUCUGCUAUGACAAGCCUGUAACAUCAUUCUAGAACAUCUCUGCAAUGACAAGCCUGUAACAUCAUUCUAGAACAUCUCUGCAAUGACAAGCCUGUAACAACAUUCUAGAACAUCUCUGCAAUGACAAGCCUGUAACAUCAUUCUAGAACAUCUCUGCUAUGACAAGCCUGUAACAACAUUCUAGAACAUCUCUGCUAUGACAAGCCUGUAACAUCAUUCUAGAACAUCUCUGCUAUGACAAGCCUGUAACAUAAUUCUAGAACAUCUCUGCUAUGACAAGCCUGUAACAACAUUCUAGAACAUCUCUGCUAUGACAAGCCUGUAACAUCAUUCUAGAACAUCUCUGCUAUGACAAGCCUGUAACAACAUUCUAGAACAUCUCUGCUAUGACAAGCCUGUAACAUCAUUCUAGAACAUCUCUGCUAUGACAAGCCUGUAACAUCAUUCUAGAACAUCUCUGCUAUGACAAGCCUGUAACAACAUUCUAGAACAUCUCUGCUAUGACAAGCCUGUAACAACGUUCUAAGAACAUCUCUGCUAUGACAAGCCUGUAACAUCAUUCUAGAACAUCUCUGCUAUGACAAGCCUGUAACAACAUUCUAGAACAUCUCUGCUAUGACAAGCCUGUAACAACAUUCUAGAACAUCUCUGCUAUGACAAGCCUGUAACAACAUUCUAGAACAUCUCUGCUAUGACAAGCCUGUAACAACAUUCUAGAACAUCUCUGCUAUGACAAGCCUGUAACAUCAUUCUAGAACAUCUCUGCUAUGACAAGCCUGUAACAACAUUCUAGAACAUCUCUGCUAUGACAAGCCUGUAACAUCAUUCUAGAACAUCUCUGCUAUGACAAGCCUGUAACAACAUUCUAGAACAUGUAAUGGGAAUUGAAAUGUUUGUGCUUUUCUUAUAACUAAUUUCUGUGUUCAUGCAAGUGACUGACUGAACCAAUUCUCACUAUCAGUAUCUGCAAUUUGGCAGUACGCCCAGACCUUGUUUUGAGAACGAAAGAUAUCUCAGUUUCAAGGUCUCAGCUCAGAGAGAAGAAGCCUCGUGAGGUAUUGGUCUGUCACAUGUUAAGAACCAGCAUUUGUCAUUCACAUGAAUGAAACAAAACGGUAAUGAUGAAUUAAUUAUGCUAAAUCAUGCACAUAUAAUUUGUCUG